UGUUUGCUUUUGUGAGGGAGUGAUGUUACUUGAUAACGAAACAGUAUGUCUGAUCCAAAACCAUAUUUUCAAAACACAUUGAUUGCGUGUGAGUGGAUUUAAAUUCUGGCACACAGAAGCAUUAACAGUGUCAUUUUCAAGAACCUCCACUUUGUUUUUGUUUUAGAGCAUUUUGACUAAUCUUUUAAGACCCACAGAAUUUUGUGUUCUGUGACAAUGUAAACAGCGGACCUACCAAAAGUAAGAGGAGAUGCUUCUUUCACCAGAAAAAAAGUCUGUUUUGGUGCUGCUACAGAAAAGGACAAACUCCGACUGCAACGGACAAUCAAAACUGCUGAAAGGAUUGUCGGUACCCCCCUACCCACCCUUGAGGACUUGCACGCUGCCAGAACUAAGACGAGCGUGCAAAAUCCUCUCGGACCCUCCACAUCCCGGUCACCGGCUCUUCCGGCUCCUUCCCUCAGAUGGAGUGCUUCCCCACCAAUGGGAGAUGAUCGUCCUGGACCCAGCACGUUACCGCUGACUGUAACGGAUGCUGUGCUGCCCAUCAUCGUGUUAUUUCACCUCUCAACCGUUUACUCUCCGCACGAGGUGGUCCUACUCUCACAAAAAAGUGGCUCCCGGCAUCUGUCCAACAGUCCAAAGUGAGCAAAAGCGGGUCAGCCACUGUAAGAUUGAUGACGGAGCCCUGGCGACAACGCACAUCACCUCCGCCGGACUCCCCUUUGUCUUCCUAAACGAAGGAGAAGGCCGUCUGCUGUUGGAUUAUCGAUGAGUAUCGAUCAAACGAUCAGAGUCGCCGACCCCGCGAGGCCGACAGCGCGCAACCGAGGAUGCCCAAGUGGCGCAAAUGGCAAAUGAAAGAUGCAUCGUCCUCGCCUGUUCGCUCCCCCCCUCACCUCAGUCACUCCGCGGCGCUCUGGCUGCUGGCUGCUGGAUGCCUGCGCGCUCCCUCGCUCCACACAGGCGCGUGCGCGAACCAAGACGCCCCGUGUUAGUGGCGGUGGGAGUGGACCGCCAGACCACAACGGGAUUGGGGGAAUCAUUCAUGGAAGGGAGGGGGUGCACAUACACUGAAGCAUCGAUCUAUCUACAGAUUGAGCAAUCGAUGCUUUUGCUUUUGUUUGACAAAAUGCUUUAUCUGUCCAUGGAUAUCACAUGACCUGGUUAAUACAACCCCAAUUCCAAUGAAGUUGGGACGUUGUGUUAAACAUAAAUAAAAACAGAAUGCAAUGAUUUAGAAAUCAUUUUCAACCUACAGUUAAUUGA